ACUGGUCGUUCUGCCGGUCAGUUGAUUUGCAUAUUACCCUUUUAUUAUAUAGGAUAUUGUGUGGAAGAGAAGGAGCCUUUCAGUAGUGUUUUUUUCUUUUUUUCGGGCAUGUUACAUUUAGAAUUAAGACCUGUCUAGAAAAAACUUUAUUAUUAAAGAUUCCUGAAAUUCAUAAUCUAUAUGUUAAUUUCUGCAAUUUACUACUAAAAAAGAGGUGAUGAACUACCUUGAAUAAUGAUAAACUAAUAACAGUAGCUAAUUCCAAACCACUUUUUUGUGGGAGCAUCAUUACUUGCUUUUGAAGGGAACAAGAGCACUUGUUUAGUUAGGCAAGUUGUGCGGGCAGAGUCAGGCCAAAUCAAGCUUCUUCAGACUGCUACUUGAGUCACUAGCUUCCUGGCUCCAUAGAUUCCAAUAUGUAAGACACUCAGAUUCCCACGGGCUUUGAUGGGGCUGCCUGAACUUUAUCAAAUGUUUCUGAGUGCUCUAUGACAAAUGGGCAUGCGCUGAAAAUGACCCAAGGGUUUGAAAAAUUCCAAGCCACAGGAUAACCCCUUCUUUCUUUAUACCCUCCACAAUUUCUGAUGCAAUAUAUUUAGGAGGGACUCGGGAGUUAUUGAAGGAUGAAUAAAGGAAUUAAUGGAGGGAUAGAAGGAAGAGUUUAUUUGGUACACAUUAUCCAGAUUUUUGGUUUCCCAGACUUCUUUUCCUCUCUUCUGAGCUCAUCUUUUUGCCAUCUCACUGUUAACGAGCAACUUCAGCUCAGGAAGGGUGAAAAUAGGACAUACAGUGGCAAACAUGCCAGUCAGUUCUCAUUGUUAACCUGCUUUUGUAAAGAGUUUUGAUGGAAUGGGGUGGGACUUCAGGUGGGAGCAGGGAGAAAGUUCUUUGUGCCAGAAAAUGCCAUUCCCUUCUCUCAGAUGUGCUGUUACCGGUGAAGCGUCAGCUGAGCUUGGCUGUCAGUGCUCUCUAGGAACUGACUGGCUGCAUCUGUUCUCACUUGGCAUGACUUCCUCAGCCCCCUACACAUCUCUAGAACUUGGCCCCCUCCUUGGCCCUGUUCUUUCUGGUUGACUUGUUUUUUUCACUCUGUUAGACUCAGAUCCCAGCUGUUCAUUUGUUCUGACCCUUUGCCUUGCUCCGAAGUCUGAUUGCUAAGACCUCUCCAUUGUCAACUACUCAUGGAGUUCCAGAUGCCCGGCUAUGUUCAAGACCUUGCCCUAGCCCUCUCCUCAGUCUCUCCCCUUCCUUUUAGCCUACACACUAAGCUUUCUGAGACCUCUCCUACUGCCAGCUAUAGCCUCAAUUCUGACAGAUUCUUAUCUCAAUAAUAAAGAUACAGCUGGUAACUCAGUGAUCCCUAAACCUAGAAGAAGUUACCAUAUUCUAUCAUCAGUUUCCUUGCCUUCCUCCCUGACUAUAGCUACUUAGUUAUGUACGUUUCUUAGUUAUGUACCUUUAUUUCUCAAUAAAAAUUUGAAGGAUAUUACCAACAAAAGGAACUCUCAAGAACAACUUCCCUGCCCAUCUCAUCUCUCAGGUUUUACUCUGAAGUUAAUGAAGCCUCCACAACCAAGAAUCUAAUAAAAAUGAACUAAGUUUCAAACUGAUAAAUCACUAAUAAAUUAAAAAUACAUAGAGCAGCAUAUGGAGGUAAUAAUGGGAAGGAGUGUGUAAUGUAAAGUCACACAGACCUGGGUCUGGAUUCUGGUUCUCUUAGGUAGGUCCUCAGCAAACUAGUUAACAUCUCUGAGCCUCAGUCGUCUCACUGUAAAAGAGAGAUACUAGCUUCCUAAGAGGACUGUAUACAUGGUAGCUAUUGUUAUUGGAGCUAGAAAACUUGGAUACCACUCUCAGCUUUACUUACUAGCUGUGUGAUCUUAGACAAUAUCACUUAAUAUUUUUCAGCUUUAACCCCUUCUGUAAAAUGGGGAGAAUAAUACCACCUUAUUUCAUAGGUUACCAGGAAAUUCAAAUACUGGUAAGAUAGGAAAGGUAUAUGAAAAUUAUUUUGUAAAUCUUAAUGAUGAAAAAGAUGUUGCAAUGAGAAUUUCCAUUUUUGUAUUUCCUGACCAGCCUGCUCAAAUUGGCCUUUGUAUCAAUGGAAUUAUUUUCCAUUGAUGAAUUGGAAAAUUUAAAUGUAUCUUUUCUCUUAUGGCACCUGAGUUAAAAACAAACCAGAACAGAACCCUAAUAGGCAAUAAUCAAAGUAAUGUUAGACAUUUUUGGCUAAUAGGUUGGUUUUAUGCUGAUGCAUGCUACUGAGUUUAUAAAUUAUUAAAAUAGGAUAAUUAUCUCUUACACUGAUUGAUCCAGGCUAGAGAAAUUGGUUACAUAAUUUAUGGAGAACUUUUUCGAAUCCUCUCUUAAUUUCCAGAAAUCAGUGGUUUGGGAUUAUAGUAAAACCUUUUGAAAUUGCACCCCAUCAUCCUUAUAUAAGAGGUAUUGUAACAUUUUUUUAAAUCCCACACAUUGGUCUGAUAUGGAAAGAUUUCAAAACUCCCAGGACAGUUGGCCUCCAUGUAGCUCUGGAGAGUGGAGACAGAGGUCCAGAGGCCAGGGCACCCCGCUGGGCCUGGAGGCAGAGCCCCUGACAGCCUUGCAAAUCCCCCUGAAAGCACCCUCCUUUCUAAGGUCAUCUCUCCCCGCUAUGAAACUGUCUAUGGGUAUUUAGAAGAAUAAAGACCAUUUCUAGACAGUGGUGCCUAUUCUUCAGAGUUCCAAUUAUGUAAUUCUACAAGGAUCCCCUUGAAAACCAGUGAAGGCUUUCCGUGAGCCUUCUCUGAAGCACACACUAAUGAAUGCAAUACUUCAUUGCUCCUGUAAGAUUCACUGCAGGCUAUUGGCAAACAAGCUUUUCUUCCAUGAGCACUAGUUUGUUUCCUGUACUUAAAAAGGAGGAAAAUAAUUCCACUGAUACAAAGGCCAAUUUGAGCAGGCUGGUCAGGAAAUAAAAAAGUGGAAAUUUUCAUUGCAACAUCUUUUUCAUUGUAUAACAUCCCAGUUGCAAUAAACAUUGCCAGCUGUUUCUUCUGCCUUUUUCCCCUGCUAUAGGACUUUAGUCUAUUGAGUCUUAGUAACCAGAAAUCAAGUCAUCUAAAUAGGUGGGGGAAAUACAAGUGGCAUAACAAGCAUUUGCAGAAAAAUCCCAAAUGAAAUUAUGAGGCAAUUAGAUACACAUACUGUAAUAAAACCAAGAUAUAAUUUGAAAGGGACCAAAAGAACCCUGACUCCUGAAAAAAUGUAGAGAACACAUCUGGUUAGGUUGAAAGAAUAAAUGCUGCAUUUAGAUAUGAAAAUUGCUUUCACAUAGAGAUACUUUAUAAAGUACAAAAAAUAUUUUUAAAAAGCUCAUAGUACUUUCAUCAUUUUAUGCUCUGGAAUAUGAACAUCACUCUGAAUUUUUAAAGUGAUAGUAAAACAAAAAAUGAAGAAAAGAACUUUAAUUUCUCUAUUUUAUCCUUGUCCUUAUUUCUCUUAUCAAUAGUUUUUAAUCCCUAAAAUAAUCUAACUAUAGGUGUGAUGGAAUACUGCAAGAGCAGUUUUGUUGAGGGUAGAGAAACUCUAAGUCUGAGAUUUAGAAUGUAAAGCAGCAGCAGAGGGAAGUGAAGGGAGGGGAAAGCGAGAGCACGGGCCUGGGCAGUCUAGGAGGGGGGACUUGAUUCCUGGGAGUUCAGCAUUAGGUAAAUUAA